AUCUACGGCCAUGCCACCCUGAACACGCUGGAUCUCGUCUGAUCUCGGAAGCUAAGCAGGGUCGGGCCUAGUUAGUACUUGGAUGGGAGACCACCUAGGAAUACCAGGUGCUGUAGGCU
rnacentral:rRNA from 1 species